rnacentral:misc_RNA from 1 species
UCCGGUUUGGCACCGGCAGUCUCCCUAGAGUUCCCGGCAUGAUCCGCUGGCAACUAAGGACAGGGGUUGCGCUCGUUGCGCCACUUAAGGCAACACCUCACGACACGAGUUGACGACAGCCAUGCACCACCUGUGAACCGGCCCCAAAGGGGAAGGGCUGUUUCCAGCCCGGUCCGGCCCAUGUCAAGCCUUGGUAAGGUUCUUCGCGUUGCAUCGAAUUAAGCCACAUGCUCCGCCGCUUGUGCGGGCCCCCGUCAAUUCCUUUGAGUUUUAGCCUUGCGGCCGUACUCCCCAGGCGGGGUGCUUAAUGCGUUAGCGUCGGCACGGAGGGGGUUGAUGCCCCCCACACCUAGCACCCAACGUUUACGGCUGGGACUAC